rnacentral:misc_RNA from 1 species
CGGCAAUGUGCAGAGAGAAGGGAUAAGGAGCUCAGACGACGCCUUCAAGAUAGUGAACAGAAAUUAGGGAUGUCAAUGCCUCUAGAUCAAGCAAAGGAAAGAGCCACUCAACUAGAAUCAGAAGUCACAUCACUGGAGAGGCACUUAAUUUUGGCAAGUGGAGUUGAAGGUAUGGAAGGUUUUCGGCAACGAUGGAGUCUACAUGGUCGCGUAACUGAUACCAAGAGGAGGCUGGAGGCCCUGAAGGGGGGAAUGGAGAACAGAAAGAAGGAUGAGCCAGCUGAAAAUAUCUCUGCCAAGAAAAACUGGUCCUUCUGGUGGAAACAAUAGUUACUCCUCCCUCACCAUCCAACAAAUUGUUACUUUUGUACACUUCUAUUGCCAUUGUUGGUUUCGUUUUACACAGGUGAAUCCAGGAUUUGAAGUUUUAGGGUUCCUACAG